CUUUUUUUAUUUUUAAAAGACCUUUUUCGGAAGGUAUGCUUAAAGAGGGGCUUGCGUCACAUUAGUUAGUUGGCAGGGUAAAGGCCUACCAAGACUAUGAUGUGUAGCUGGACUGAGAGGUUGAACAGCCACAUUGGGACUGAGACACGGCCCAAACUCCUACGGGAGGCAGCAGUAGGGAAUUUUCGGCAAUGGAGGAAACUCUGACCGAGCAACGCCGCGUGAACGAUGAAGUAUUUCGGUAUGUAAAGUUCUUUUAUUGAAGAAGAAAAAAUAGUGGAAAAACUAUCUUGACGAUAUUCAAUGAAUAAGCCCCGGCAAACUAUGUGCCAGCAGCCGCGGUAAUACAUAGGGGGCGAGCGUUAUCCGGAAUUAUUGGGCGUAAAGGGUGCGUAGGCGGUUUAAUAAGUCUAUAGUUUAAUUUCAGUGCUUAACACUGUCCUGCUAUAGAAACUAUUAGACUAGAGUGAGAUAGAGGCAAGUGGAAUUCCAUGUGUAGCGGUAAAAUGCGUAAAUACAUGGAGGAUCACCACAGGCGUAGGCGGCUUUGCUGGGGUCUUUACUGACG
rnacentral:rRNA from 1 species